AACGAACGCUGGCGGCAUGCCUAACACAUGCAAGUCGAACGUGAUCCGGGGCUUGCUCCGGUGAAAGUGGCGGACGGGUGAGUAACGCGUGGGAACCUGCCCUUUGGUUGGGGAUAACUGCGGGAAACUGCGGCUAAUACCCGAUGCACCCGAGAGGGGAAAGAUUUAUCGCCGAAGGAUGGGCCCGCGUCGGAUUAGGUAGUUGGUGGGGUAACGGCCUACCAAGCCUUCGAUCCGUAGCUGGUCUGAGAGGAUGAUCAGCCACACUGGGACUGAGAUACGGCCCAGACUCCUACGGGAGGCAGCAGUGGGGAAUAUUGGACAAUGGGCGCAAGCCUGAUCCAGCAAUGCCGCGUGAGUGAAGAAGGCCUUAGGGUUGUAAAGCUCUUUCGGCGGGGACGAUGAUGACGGUACCCGCAGAAGAAGCCCCGGCUAACUCCGUG
rnacentral:rRNA from 1 species